AGCAUCAUAUUCUGGUAUUGCUGGAAA
rnacentral:piRNA from 1 species